UCCUGAUAUUGCAAGAGAAGGCUUCCAUCUGUAAUGCCUGGGUACUGCCAUUGCCUCAUGGACACCCACCACUGACAACGGCUCUCUGGAUACCUCCCUGAUUACACCCGGCUCCUGGCUCUUGGUACCUAAAGUCUCUAGGUUUCUGGAAUUGCUGAUCACCGUUGCAGGCUUCAUCACCCCAAAGAAAUAAAGAACUUGAAGCACAAAUGGCAGCUCUGCUACCUUCUUGGAGCGUUUGGGCCAAGAUAAGUUACACUCCAGCAGAUCCUUUAAAACAACCUCACGGGUCCCAGCUGAGGCACAACCCUGAGCACAACUGUCUUCAUCUGAACUUUAGUGGAUGAGAUGCUGGGAAAUGCAAGGGAAGGCGGAAUUCUUCCUCCUCCAUCUACCAAAAGAGGAGAAGAGCUACCUGGGAGAGUGAUGAAGUGAGAAAUUGCUGACAGAGUGAAUUUCUUCUGAAUAAGAAAGUUGUACUGUAACAUGGAACACGGUGUUAUUUUGCUUUCUUGGUGUGGCGAUUGCACACACAAAUUCUGCCAGACCACCCAUCUGGGUGGGUGUGUACAGCUACAAGAACUACCUUCACACAUACAUUGCAGAGAGGAGCUGUUACUGACGGCUGAAGAAAAGGUUGUUCCCAGGUGCCUGUUUGCUGUGUUGAGUGGAAGUUCACCAGAGGGAUUGCUGACAAUCAUUACUCCUGGUGGAAUAAAGUCUGCUCUAGUGCCGUGGGCUCGUUUGGACUGAGGAUCUGCUCAGAGGCAGUGAGUGUUACAAGCUAAAAAAAAAGAUCAGGUCUUAAAAUGUCACUCAAUUCUCCAAUGCCCUGAGCCACCUGUAAUUGCUUACUCCGUACACAUGGCUUCCAAACCAUUUUAUUACUCGGCUGUUACACUCGGCAGAGGUAGCAUUUACUUACCUUUCCCAAGUGAAACAAAUGCCCAGAACAGCAAAGAAUCAGGCCAAGUGUGUUCCUCUAAACGAGCUUUACUUUCUUGAACUGCCAUAAAAUAUUAACUGUGUUAACAGAAAAAUUAAUCUCACUUUUUUCUUCCCCCCCCCCCC
rnacentral:lncRNA from 1 species